rnacentral:misc_RNA from 1 species
GAUGAAGAACGCAGCGAAAUGCGAUAAGUAAUGUGAAUUGCAGAAUUCAGUGAAUCAUCGGAUCUUUGAACGCACAUUGCGCCCCCUGGUAUUCCGGGGGGCAUGCCUGUUCGAGCGUCAUUUCACCACUCAAGCCUCGCUUGGUAUUGGGCAACGCGGUCCGCCGCGUGCCUCAAAUCGACCGGCUGGGUCUUCUGUCCCCUAAGCGUUGUGGAAACUAUUCGCUAAAGGGUGUUCGGGAGGCUACGCCGUAAAACAACCCCAUUUCUAAGGUUGACCUCGGAUCAGGUAGGGAUACCCGCUGAACUUAAGCAUAUCAAUAAGCGGAGGA